AUUGUAUUAUGCCUGUGAAGCAUUGCAAAGGAUUCCUAGUGUGUUCUUUGCCAACAGCCAUCAAAAAUGAAUGAGGACAAAGAGUCAUCUAAGGAACAGAAAUUUUCUCACUCAAAGAAACAAAAGGAUAAGGGAAACCCAACUCAUAAAAAGAGAGAAUUUUCAUGGCAUAUUGCUUCAAUAAUCCUGGGAAUAAUAUCUUUUUUUCUCUUGCUGGCAACCAGAAUCUUUGUGUAUAUGUUGUUACAGAGCUCUUUUGCAUGCAAAAUACAAGACCUA